AUAAGUAGUGUCUGUUGACUGGUUGGGCUGGAAUCUGGCAUUAGUGCUUCCUUUAAGUGAUAGAUCCUAAAUUUUGGUUCUCUUUUACGGGCUUUUUGGUGGCUAUUUUAGAGAUAGCUCCAUUCCCACUUUUCCUUGUUUUCUUAAUACGAAGAAUUCUCUUUGUUGGAUCAGAGACACCAUUUCUGAAUCUGGCAACUCUAAACCUGAACUCCGCAUAUCAGAAUUGCCUACCUUCAGUGUUAUAUCCCACAGGAAGAUUACAUCAUUUGAAGUGAUACUGCAGAAGAAAAAUCCAAGCAAAGCAUGGUGACUCUGAGGAGGCCAGGGAUCCAGGCUCACUUACCAGGAUCAAGAUGCUUUUGGAGAGCUGGAUACUCCUAGACUGUGGUCAAUUGGCUUUAGAUGGAGGAAUUGUGUGAGUGUGAUUGGAGUUGGAUUACCAUGAGACCAAAUGCUGUGAAGCAAAUAGAGAGGAAGGUCCAGGAGGCAAGAGAAGUCAAGAGGAUAUUAAGGAGGUGUGUAACAUGUAUCUGAGAAUAAUACAUUUUAAAAUAAAAUAAAUUAACAUAUAUUUUGUAUAUACCUUAUAUUAUCCAUAAACACUUACUUGAAAGAAAACUAUUCUUCCUAGCAGCCAUUACUUUAAGAUGCACUCUGGCAUUCUGAUAAAAGAAUGUUAACUUCUUGAUUUCUUUGUAAAGAAAAUUAAUUUUUAUUUCUGAGAUAAAAAACAAAUCAAUUUGUAGCUUCAUAUUGGCUCAGACAGAAAUGAGCCCAUAAAAGCAUCUUUU
rnacentral:lncRNA from 10 species